GACGAACGCUGGCGGCGUGCCUAAUACAUGCAAGUAGGACGCAGUUGCGAACGGGUGAGUAACGCGUAGGUAACUACCUAUUAGAGGGGGAUAACUAUUGGAAACGAUAGAUAAUACCGCAUACUAGUAGAUGGACCUGCGUUGUAUUAGCUAGUAGGUAGGGUAAUGGCCUACCUAGGCAACGAUACAUAGCCGACCUGAGAGGGUGAUCGGCCACACUGGGACUGAGACACGGCCCCGACGCCGCCGGUAGGAAGCAGUAGGGAAUCUUCGGCAAUGGGGGGAACACUAACCAAGCAACGCCGCGUGAGUGAAGACGGGUUUCGGAUCGUAAAGCGCUGUUGUUAAGGAAGCAGUACUUAACCAGAAGGGGAAGGCUAACUACGUGCAAGCAGCCGCGGUAAUAC
rnacentral:rRNA from 1 species